rnacentral:tRNA from 1 species
GGUUGUGGCUCAGGGUAGAGCAUUUGCCUUGCGAAUGUGAGGCCCUGGGUUCGAUCCUCAGCACCA